GAAUGCAGGAAGUUGAAUUUAUUCUUAAAUUAUAAGGAUAAGCCAAUGCUUUUUAUGUACAUACAGCAAACAGCAUAUGAAGCUGAAAUAUAAACACUGAUAUCCUAAUUGAGGCAGCAUUCAGAUCCAUCAAUGCCAAUCAUAUUGUUGGUAUACUAUAAAUUGCAUAAUUCUGACCCCAAAGCAGCCCAGCAUGACCUAUAGAACAUUUUCACCCAUCUAUUUUAGGGAAGGAAGGUCAUGAAAUGCAUUUACGAAGCAGCUUCAAAGGUAUUCCCAAAUGAGAACAUCCCCUUGU
rnacentral:misc_RNA from 1 species